rnacentral:rRNA from 1 species
GACGAACGCUGGCGGCGUGCUUAACACAUGCAAGUCGAACGGAAAGGCCCUGCUUUUGUGGGGUGCUUGAGUGGCGAACGGGUGAGUAACACGUGAGUAACCUGCCCCUGACUUUGGGAUAACUUCAGGAAACUGGGGCUAAUACCGGAUAGGAGCUCCUGCUGCAUGGUGGGGGUUGGAAAGUUUCGGCGGUUGGGGAUGGACUCGCGGCUUAUCAGCUUGUUGGUGGGGUAGUGGCUUACCAAGGCUUUGACGGGUAGCCGGCCUGAGAGGGUGACCGGCCACAUUGGGACUGAGAUACGGCCCAGACUCCUACGGGAGGCAGCAGUGGGGAAUAUUGCACAAUGGGCGGAAGCCUGAUGCAGCAACGCCGCGUGCGGGAUGACGGCCUUCGGGUUGUAAACCGCUUUCGCCUGUGACGAAGCGUGAGUGACGGUAAUGGGUAAAGAAGCACCGGCUAACUACGUG